UCCCCCUUUCCCGACGGGCACUGGAGUGCCCUACACACGCCCCUCGCCUCUCGCCCACUGCCGGGAGGCCCUGUGGUCUCUGCUGUACUCAGGCCUGCCUCGGCCAGUUCUUUCCCGCACUAUCUGGAAAUGCGUGGAAUUGUGAGCAUCUACCCCGCGGCCCCUCCCGCCAGCUCGCUGGGGCGUCCUGCAGGCCAGGCUCCGGGCGCUGUCUGCUCCUGCGUGGUCCCUUCCGCCAGCUCGGGCGCUGUCUGCUCCUGCGUGGUCCCUCCCGCCAGCUCGCUGGGGCGUCCUGCAGGCCAGGCUCCGGGCGCUGCCUGCUCCAGGGGCUGGCCUUCGCUUCCUUUCUCACGAAAGCCUUACUUGUGCCCGUCAGUUUCUUCCCACAGAACAAAUAUGGAUUUCAAGGCGGGCGUUGGGGAUUUGAUGUAGGAUUUGGGGACAGACAUCCUCUGACCUCAGCGUUGCCCGCUGCGGAGCUUUGCCAGGAGCUGGCGUCCGUGACUUAAGUGAAAAGCUGGGUCAAACCCAGAGCUCCCUGGCUCUGCGCUACGCCGUGUACAUGUUUUCUCUGGGCUGACAGGGGCCCUGCCCCUGGGGCACUGAGCCCUCCCUGUGGGUCCUCGAACAGAAGCCAGGGUCUGUGCGGCACCCACCAGCUGCUGGGCCAUGGCGGAGUGUUCUGGUGCGGGCCAGCGCCUGACCGGUGCGGGCGGCCUCAGGAGAGGAGAGCUUGCUCAGUGCGUCACGUAGUCAGGGCUCAGGCUGGGGCCCGGCUCCAGAGCCUGGUCACAUUCCCAA
rnacentral:lncRNA from 1 species